UUUUUUUUUUUUUUUUUUUUUUCUUUUUAGGGCUGCACUCAUGGCAUAUGGAGGUUCCGGGCGAGGGGUCCAAUGAGAGAUGCAGCUGCCAGCCUACCCCACAGCCACAAUCAUGCAGGAUCAGAGCCGCGUCUGCGACCUACACCACAGCUCAUGGCAACGCUGGAUCUUUAACCCACUGAGCCAGGCCAGGGAUCGAACCAAGGACCCCAGGGUUCCCAGUCAGAUUUGUUUCUGCUGUGCCACCAUGGGAACUCCUGUGCUCGCCUUUGCAACACCCUUCUCUAGAGGGUCACUUAGAGCACAUUCCCUGGAGGCUGGUGCAGGAGUAGCAGGUGCUCAUAAUAGCCACAGUAAUAGUAACAAGACAGGUCACAGCUGUAGUUACAAACAGCGCCGUGGAUGAAGCAGGCAGGGGCUUCGCGAUCACACCCGCCUGGGUUUGAAUUCUGACUUUUGGAAUUUACAAGACUCAGGGGACCAUGGGCAAGUUGUUCAAGCUCUGGGGGCCUCAAUGUUCUGAUCUGGGCAAUGGGCACGGUGCUAUUUUCUCCUUCAUGGAGGCUGUGAGGAGGAGUUAGGGAGGUCCAGGAGGGUGAAGGUUGUCAUCCCAAACUGGCAAAUCCCCUUAAAGGGGCAAAAGGGAAUUAAAGUUGCCGAUGGCUUGAAGCUUGCUAGUCUUGCUUUAAGAGACUUUAAGAGAGAGAGGGUGGCCUGGAGUGUCCAGGUGGGGCCAAUGUAAUCUCCUUAAAAAUGAAAGAGGGAGGCAGGAAAGGGAGAGGGAAAGCAAGAUGGAGGCGUGAGAAGGACUCCACUGGCCAAUGCUGGCUGUGAACGUGGAGGAAGGGGCCAGCAGCCAAGGAGUGCUGCAAAAGGCAAGAAAUGGCUUCUCCCCCAGAGCCUCCAGCAGGAACCAGCCCUGCCGACACCUUGAUUUUUACCCCAGUGAGACCCAUGUGGGAAUGGUGAUCUCCAGAAGUGUAAGAAAACACAUUUGGGUUGUUUUACUGUUUCACUGAGUUUGUGGUUAUUUGUUACAGCAGCUGGAGAAAAUGAAUACAGGUGGUAACUGGCAGUGGCAGAUGUGAGGGUUAGGAGUGGGUCCCUUGUUCUCUGCCUCUUAAUGUCCAGGCUCUUGUCCUUCCUCCCCUAGGUUGCUGGAUCGUGGGAGAAACAGGAUGGCACUUUGUUGAAGACUACAUUUCCCAGACUCUCUUGCAGCUCACUAGCUAGGUGUGGCCAUGUGACUAAGUUCUGGCCAAUGAGAUUUGGGGGGGGGGAGCUUCUGGGAAGGCUCCUUAUAGUAGAUAGGCCACUGGAGAAAACCUCCUUUGUCCUCCCAACUUCCUUCCUUCCUGCUGCUAGAACAAGGAUGUGAUGGUUGGUGCUUUGGCAAUCAUUUUGGACCAUGAGGAGCAAUAUGGUAGGUAUCCUGAGGAAGACACAGAAUUCUGUUCUUGAAUAAUGGACUCAGUAGUCCUUGGAUGAAGAAGUCAUCCAUUUAUUUAACAAGCCUUUAACAAGCACCAUCUGUGUGCUAUGGGGAAAGUGUAACAAAAUAGACCAAAAUUCUCACCUUCAGGGAGCUGAUAUUUGGGGAAGGAGGGGGCAGAUACUGAACAAAUAGGUACUAUCAGGAAAUGAUUAGUAAUAGGGAGAAAAACAAAGGAGGGUAAACGAGAGAACAGGGAUUGAUAAGUGAAGGCUCUUGGAAGUGGUGCCUUUUCAGUAAAGACGUUGAUGAUUUGUUGUUGAAGAUGAAAAAUGUUUUCCUCACGUUGGAGCAAGUUAAUCGGGUUUUCCUGUCACUUGCAACCGCAAGCAUUGAUACUGCUGUUCUGUUCUUUGAGUUCUUUCACCUUAUCCAUGGGGCUUGGGUGGGGGAGUACUGUGAUGUCCCCGUUUUACAGAUUAGGAGAUGGAGGCUGGGAGGGAGGGUGACAUACCCAAGAUCACACAGCAAAUAGGGAGAACCAGGCUUUGAACUCUGAGAUGGAGAGGGUAGCUGGGAGCCAUGGAAGGUUCAAAGCUGGGAUUAAUGCAUAACGAUCAGGUGGGGAAGAUGCCUGAAGGGAUAUGUCCAACCUCCACUGGUUUGCUUCUGCAGUCUCCUCUGCCUGUGACGCCUUUUCUUUCUAAUCCUGGCGGCAGCCACGCCUCCUCCAGGAAGUCCCCCUGGCCCGCAAUAUCCCCCGUGGCCCCAUCAUGCUUUGUGGUUGGGAGCUCAAAGGGUUCCAGGACAGCCUCGGGUCCCUCCCGCCUUUCCUAGCUGCUGUGCCAUCAUGUUUAUGCAUCGCUCUGGAAAAAACUGAUUACAUUCCAGCUUGACCUUCUCCCUGUCGGUGGGGCCUAUCACCACGUCAAUCACACAGCUCAGACGGGGAAAAAUUAUUUUAUCUUUAACGAUACUUAAAACUGCUUAGCAGGGCCGUCACGGAGACUGGGCACGGGCUGCUGCCGGCCCCUGAGCUCUGGAUCCUGCAUGCCUUGGGGCUCUUCCUUUGCUCUCUCCUCCCCUGACAGAAACUACUAGAACCUUCUGAGUUGCCGACCUAUUUGCCACCCUCCGGGGCCACCCUGUCUCCAAAUGUGGUGCGUCCUUCUCUCUGCUGCUGUCUCUUUGUCUCUGUGCCUUGGCUCUUUCUUUUAUGUCUCUGACUCCUAUUGCUGUCUCUGUCCCUUUUCUCUAACCCUCUGUCUCUUUCUAUCUUUGUUAUUACCCGGGGGGACCAAAUGACCCCUUUGGUAUACCAUGUGCUCUUCCAGUGUAGGCACCCACAAAUGGUUUUUUCCUCUCCAACAACCUGGGAUGCAGAUCUUCUGAUUAAGCCCAUUUUCCAGGGUUGGAGACUGAGGCCCAGAGAGGCCAAGCCCUUUUUUUCAAGGUCAUACAGCAAUAACAAGGCAGAGCUGCUACCAGAAUAAUCUGCCAUGACACAAAAAGAAAGUCUGUGAUCUUUUACCUCCAAAAGCAAUGUGGAAUUUUGGAGGCUUUGGAAGGCUCAGACUUCAGGGUCGGGUUGAAUCUUAAGACAUUCACCGUGUGAUCUUGGGCAGGCACUGAAUAUCUCCUUGGCUUAAUCUCUUCAUCUAGUGAAUGGGCCCCUGGGGGAAUCUUUUUUUUUUUUAUUUAUGUACAGUGUUUGAGGUGUACAGCAAAGUGAUUCAGUUAUAUAUAUAUAUUCUUUUUCAUGUUUUUCCACUAUGAUUUAAUUAUAGGAUAUUGAAUAUAGUUCCCUGUGCUAUACAGGUCCUUGUUGUUUAUCUCUUUUAUACAUAGUAGUGUGUAUUGGUUAAUCCCAGACUCCUAAUUUAUCCCUUCUCCCUUCCCCCUUUGUUAACCAUAAGUUUGCUUUCUCUGCCUGUGAGCCUAUUUCUGUUUUCUAAAUAAGUUCAUUUGUGUUAUUUUUUAGAUCCCGCAUAUAAGCGAUAUCCUGUAUUUGUCUUUGUCUGACUUCCCUUAGUAUGACAAUCGCUAACUCCAUCCAUGUUGUUGCAAAUGGCAUUAUUUUGUUCUUUUUUAUGGCUGAGUAAUAUUCCGCUGUAUAUAUGUGCUACAUCUUCUUUAUCCAUUCACCUGUUAAUGGGCAUUUAGGUUGCUUCCAUGUCUUGGCUAUUGUAAAUUGUGCUGCUGUGAACAUUGCUGUGCAUGUAUCUUUUUGCCCCUGUGGGGAUCUUGAGAGCUGGGGUCUUGAAUGUCACAGUAGGCUUGACAGAUAAAAUACUGUCAGUUAAUGCCCAGUUAAAUGGAUAUUUCAGACAAACCAUGAAUAAUUAUUUCUCUGGUGUAAGUAUAUCCCAAAUAUUGCAUUGGAUAUACUUAUGCCAAAACUCACUUAUUUGUCUGAAACUCAGACUGAACUGAGCCUCCUGUCUUUUUACUGGCCACGUUUGGCAGUCUUAGCACAGGGCUCUGGAGAAAGAGAAGGUUCUGGACAUCAUGGGGCAGAUUCAUUCCCAUUUGUGGUGCCAGGCUGUCAUGGUUGCUGUAGAUGUAACUGAGGAACUCUCCAAAUGCUGAGGAAUUUGUGGGCAAAAUGGCACAUGGCCCUCUGCUGGAGCCGAGGCUGGCCUUCGUCGUUCGGAAAUGGUGGUGUCCAUUGGGGCUUGAAUAUCUCAGGCAGAGCUGAGCAGAAGCCCCGAACUUCAUGAGAUGACAAAGAAUGCAGCCAGACUCAAGCCUCUGUCUCCUGUCUGUCCUCCUGCCGGCCCCGCCAGCCACCCCAUCACAGCCCAUCCCCAAGGCUGGUCCCUCUUCUCAAGGUGUCAAUAUCUCCCAUUCUAAAUUUCGCCCCAGAAAUCAAUUAGGGCCCUGGGCGAGUUGAUUAUAAAUCAGCUAUUUUCAUAAUUGUUAUGUCUUUAAUAAAUCAAAGUAGUGCAAGUCGCCGGCAAAAUGGAGCUGUUCUCCGGGGGUCAUCAAUUACCCAGGGGAAGACAGGGCCCGAGUUCACAUUCUCUCGUCCUCCACCCAAUCCAGAGAGUCUGCCGGCCGACUUGGGACUUCCUGGACCCGGGCCGGGCUGUUCCAUUACGGAAUUGCUUAAGCAGCGUUUUAAAUAACAAAAAGGGAUAUCAUUUAAUUUUUUUUGCAACCUGAAGAUCAAUACGCUGUCCUUCAGAUGCAUGACGGAUCGCCUUGGCGAGCUUCUCCGAGUUAAUCCAAUUUCCCUGGGUCUGGCUGCGACUGGGUGGGCUGGACUCGGCCUCCCGCCUGCUGGCAGAACCCAGGCUGGAAUGCGUGUUCUCCCCCCACCCCCGGCCUGUGAGCUCUGUAGACACAGCAGUGGGGGGAGCAGGGAGAUGGGCAAGGAGCCAGUUCUGUGAGGCAGAGCUUCCAACUGGGGAUGAUUUGGCCCCCUCAGGGGACACUGGGUAGUGUCUGGGGACAUUGCUGUUUGUCACACUGGGUGUGUGUGUGUGCUCCUGGUAUCAAGCAGCUGGGGGCCAGGGAGACUGCUCCAAACCCCACAAUGUGCAGGAUGCACCCCAACCCCCACCCCAGAGUAUGAUCAGGACCCAAAUUCCAGCAGGCCAAGGAGGAGACACCCUACUUUAGGGCAGUUCAUGGAGGGCACCUGGAGGGACCCCGCCCUCUUCCCCAUCUUCAGUGCUGAGUCCUGUGUCCUGGUUAUUCUGAAGCUGGGAGGGACCCAGCUUUGAGUUCUGGGUCUGUGGGUGAUGGUGUCAGUGGUCCAGGGAAAAGUGUCUGUUUAGUUUCAUCCAUCAUCACAUGGGCCUCUGGGUUCCUGUCUUGGCUCCCUGCAUGAUUCAAUCCAACCAGCUUGUAUGGAGCACUUACUGUAUUCCAAGCAGCAUUAUAGGUGUUGGGGAUCUAGCCACCAAGAUGGAGAAAACGCCUGCCACAUGAGGUUUAAGUUCUAGUUGGGGGGAGUUCCCGCUGUGGUGCAGCUGGUUAAAGAUCUGCCUGCAGUGGCUCAGGGUGGGUGGUGGAUGGUGGGUGAGCCACAGGUUAGGGAUCUGUGUUGCUGCAGCUGUGGUGGAUGUCACAGCUGUGGAUCGGAUUCAGUCCCUGGCCCAGGGAACUGCCAUAUGCUG
rnacentral:lncRNA from 1 species